rnacentral:misc_RNA from 1 species
CGACAUUUCAGUGUCCCAGGCACACGUACGCUCAGUCUCUUGUGGUGAUCAUUUUUGGAACCACUCACACACUGCCUUUCCUCCCCCACAGAGAGAGAGAGAAACAGAGAAACAAUGCUCACACCCCUUCACCACCUUCUCUCCUCCUCCUUCCAUCCUCAGCCAGGUGGUUCUUUCUUCUUUUUCUAGCCGUUUCAUUGGAGCAGAAGCCCAUAUGGACCUUGUUGCUCUGGUAGAGGGACCAAUAUUUCUCUACUUGUAUUCUAUUUGUCCAUGACGCACACAAAUACCCCUAUCAUAAAAAACCUUAAAGAUUAUUUCUUUUCCCCUUUUUAUUUCAUAUUCACAGGAUCUGCAGCUCAGCUUUCUCACUGGUACCCUUUUUCUUUCACCUCGUUUCCUUGCCCAUUUAUGUGUACUCCUUUCUUUGUUCAAUGAUCCUGUUGGGAUUCGUUGCAUUUUACGAUUGUAAUUGGAUUUGUUGUUCUAUUCACAUGUGUAUCUGUUAAAUUUAAUCUAAUUUGCUUUUGCCUUUUGCUUUUUAAGUUUCCUUUGCCAAUUAUGCCUUUUGUACUUUAUCUGUUUGUUUAUAUAUCAACCUGGGAAUGGUUAAACCUUUCAGUUAAUGUGCUAAUUGGAAAGGUAAUGGCUGUCCCUUGCUUCUAGCUGCAGCUCAAUCUCUCUUGUUACUUAUUUAUUACUUCUAGUUUUGAAUUCAGUUCCAGAAAACAUUUGAACUUUAUAAUAUAUGGAUGUUUACAUAAUUAUUGAAUGUGGAGUUUUCUAUAGAAGCCAAGGGAUUUUUAUAGCUAUUAGGCUCUUCCUUUCCUCACAAUAUUAGUUUUUAAUGCAUAGUCUCGUUUAAGAAAUUUUUGUACUGGAUAUUUCUGCUUCAUAUAUUUUGGGUAAGUUUUCUUUGGUAGGAAACCAAAACAACAUAGAAUAGAACAUCUAAAAAUUUGUUUUCCUUCUGAGUCAUGAUGAUGAUGGUAUUGAAUAAUGACCAAAGAGAUGGUCAUGGUUGCUCCAGUUUCCAACAGAGUAGUGAAGAAGCAAACGUUUGUCUUGUUUUGUGCCUUGUUUGAGCCUAAACAAAUAUUAAUUUUGCCUAUAGAGGAUAUUGGUUUGCCUUAUGGUGGUGAAUUUCUUUUCUGAUUAUUUUGUUCUGGUUUUUGUUUCCACCUGCAGACUGAAUAAGCAAUUGCUGCAGAUAAUUGAAGAGGGUACACCCAUUUUAGGAGUUGAGUAUGUUGAAGCAAUCACCUAGUAGAAACCAGAGAUCAAAAGGCUUUAAGGUGAAACAUUUUCUUCAGAUAUGUCUGUUGCUUGCCAUUUGCAUUUGGCUGCUUAACCAACUCAAGCACUCCUAUGAUAAGAAAAAAGCAUACGAUAAUAGCACCGGAAAUAUAUUAGAAAAGGUGCAAAGUGAGCAUGAAAUUAUAAAACUUGGGAGGAAGGACCUCCUUCCUCAAGUUGAUGAAACAGCAUUGGAGGGUGAAAGCCAAGGAGAUAAAGCAGAAUUAGAAGAAGAGAUUGAAGAGAUUAAACCCGAAGACAUUGAGGAUGAUGGAAGAGGUGGUGGAGAUGAUGAGAUUGAUGGACAUGAUCAUGAGAGAGCAGAAGAGGAAGAAUCAGAUGAAGUAGAAGAUCUCAUUGAUGUAGAUGAUAGGGAGAGGGAUGUGGGAACUGAAGAGCAAGAGAGUGAAGAGAAGGGCAAUCAACUUGAGGAUGCAAGUUCAAUAAAUCAUCGAGCCCAAAAUGAAGGUGAAAAGAUUUCUCAGCAGGCACGAGAGGAACAUUACAAGGGUGAUGAUGCUUCCAGUUCUGUGGUGCGCAACACCCGAACUCUAAGCAUGGAAUUUCAGAUUGGAGGUCUUAGAAAUAUAAAAGUGGCAAUCGGAUCGAGUGGAAUUGUAGCUGGUGAAGUAAAAGAUGAUGAAUUUAAUUUGGCUGGCUCAGAAUCUAGUUCACUUGUUGAGGCAGUGGCAAAUGAGAAAACUAAAAUUAAUGGAAAUGAUGCACUGCUAGAGAAAAUUUAUGACUUAAAUGCAACUGCUGUUGGACAGCACACAUUCUUGCAAGAUGUUCCUAGGGCACAAAAUGAAAGCUCCAAUGAAGUCAUCGAAAGCAGGCAAUCAAAUGCUAAUUCAAACCUUUCUUUUAUGACUGGUAGUUUGGGUUCAGUUGAUUAUGGAGUAGCAUCUGUUUCCAAGCCUAUGGUGACAAAGCAGAUUAUCAAACUUGGUCCUUCUGCUUUAUCAGUGGGAAACAAUGCUCUUAAAACCAUGAACAAGAGUAAUGAUACAGCUAAUAGUCAGGGUUCAGAAUCUACUGCAAAUUAAAUAGCAGAGACUGCAGAGAAUGCUCAGCAUCAGUGAAAAUUAGUGAGGAUAUAGGUUCCAAAAAAUGAGUACUUUUGCUCAAGUCCUUAUUCUAGCCGGAAGAUAGAGAAAGACAGGUUAUUUUCAGCACUAAACUAGAGCUAAUGAGAGGGAAUAACUACGCAAAUAAAGCUGAAUAACACAUCAUGACAAGCAUGUUAUAGGUUCACCCUCUCGGGGGUGUGUGAUUUCCAGUCCUUUCACAUUUUUAGAGUUAUCCUGUACCUGUGUAAUUGUACAUAUAUAUACAUAUGUGCUACUCUUUUAUGCUUCAAGUCCAUUAAUGCCUGGAUAAAUGUAUCAAAAUUGGCGAUGGACGAUGUAUAAGUUGGAAAAGCAAACUUCUUAAUGUGUAUUAGUUGUAUUACUAAAAAAGUUUUCAGUUUUUCUAUUUCUUCAGUUUUCCAUGAUGUUGGAGGGCUUGAGUUGAGGGAGCAGAUUGGUCUGGCUUUCAGUUUCUGUCCUAUAAAGUAUUGGACAGGAUCGAUAAUGGUAUUUUUCUGACCUAUGAAUAUUACUUGGUGAGAGAAGACUUGCAACUCUAUGCUAGAGGAAGAAACCAUAGUCCUCUCUAAUAAUUUUUGAAAUGGCCUGCAGUUGCCAGUAAUGACAUGUAGCUCCCAAGUCACAAUACAAUGAGCCUAGGCCAGCAAUCUGGAAUCUGGAUAGGCCCUAUGGAGCAAUAUCAAUUCACAUCAAGAAGGCCCCAACCUGUCAUUUCUCCUGUCGGGCUCAGGUUAAUUAAAUUCUUCAUUCUCUGGAGCUGAGGCCCACUUUGGUUUAACUUGUUUCUAUUAAAAUUAGUCCAGUUCCCUAAUCACAGUAGAAAUUUGGCUUCAUUAGGAUUGUUUGAAGCUCCCCUCCCCUGCGAGAUAACUUGGGUAUCAAAUUUAAGUGGUGAACUAGCAAGCUUUGCCAAAAUUUUAAACCUCAACUUCCACAAAAUUUUUCUGGAUUUUCCCGAAAAAUACUAUCUGCGGCAAGCUGAACUUCAUAAUCAAACUGACAUCAAGUGAAGGAAUCACACCAGGCAAUUAGGUUCCACAUAUUUUGCAUUGUUAACCAGCAGACUGAACCUUGAUCCCUUUGAAUGCAUGGAAAUGCAGUGCAACAAAAUCUAUGUUAGAAGCUAGAUACUAGAAAGGCAGUUUCCUUUUAAAAUUCAAAAAUCAGCAGGAAAGGAGAACUAGGCAUUUGGCAUCUCAUCAUUCCACGUUCAAGAAUGCUUUGUGUGGCUCUUUUGAUGUGCAUUCCACUGAAUCAACAUCCAAACUAUAGAUGUACCUGAUAGGAAAAAAAAAAUAGAUUAACUUUCUAGUGGUCUUCAUAAAGUUAUAGGAAAUCCAUUUCCAAAAGAAACAUGACAAUUCUAAACAAUUAAACCAUAUGAACUUCAACAACCUGGCUGGAAAUAACGAUUUUAAAGUAGAAACAAAAAAAAUAAUAAUAAAAAAAAUCACAAACAAGAUAACAGAAAAAGGUAAGCUACAAAGUUCCCUGGGAUUAGGGAUGAUAUAGAUUAAAAUUGUUUACACUCUAAUCCCUCUAUUAUCUAGUUGUUAAUAUAAUUACUGCUGCCCCUGAAAUUUAACACGGAACACCAAAUUAGUUUCUAACGUUUCAUGCAUCACACUUAUUGCUAUUAUAGAUUAACUUAAGGAAUAAAGUUGCUUAAAUUUGAGAACUCCAUAACAGUUUAUAACAGCCUCUUAAGGAUUAAAAUAAAAGUAGAUGCAAAAUUCAAGGACCAGAAAAGAUGAACAAGGAAAAGAAAUAUAGCACCUUCAAUCCAAAUUCGGUGGAAAAAGUAGUGAUAAAAGUAAAACAAACUCGGAAUGAACUUGAGGUCUAGUAAGAAAUACAAUUACCUGCGAAGAUGCCCACAGUUGUCAAAUUUCCAAUGGCCAUUGUUUGAUAUAUUAGGUAUUCAGUCAAGAAGUGCCCAAAAGCAUACAUGAAAGAUAAAAAGGUCGCCAAAUAAAGUGGCUUAUUAUCAAGAUUGAAUGCACAAAGAAAGCAAAGAGUGCAAGUCAGCAGUGUCCAAACUCCAAAUGUCCUCCCAUGAAUCUCAGUCAUGGUGGUCUUGGAGAAGACAGCGAGCCUAAGAGCCCAAAUGUCGAAGAAACCGAACCAUACGGAAGCUAAUCGAAGAGAACCAACUAGCAUCAGCCACCAUCCCAACGCCUUCAUUUUCUCCUCCUUUUCCUCCUCUCUUGUCUCCGCCGCGUUUCUUUGCGAUU